rnacentral:rRNA from 1 species
UACGGAGGGGGCUAGCGUUGUUCGGAAUUACUGGGCGUAAAGCGCACGUAGGCGGCUUUGUAAGUUAGAGGUGAAAGCCCGGGGCUCAACUCCGGAAUUGCCUUUAAGACUGCAUCGCUAGAAUUGUGGAGAGGUAAGUGGAAUUCCGAGUGUAGAGGUGAAAUUCGUAGAUAUCGGGAAGAACACCCGUGGCGAAGGCGGCUCUCUGGAACGCAACUGACGCUGAGACGCGAAAGCGUGGGGAGCAAACAGG